rnacentral:rRNA from 11 species
AACUAGGGGAUCACUGGCCCAAAGGCGCCUGAUGCCCUCUAAUCUUGGCAGCUAAGCAGGGUAGGCCCUGGUUGGUACUUGGAUGGGAGACGGCCAACAACACCAUGCCCUGUAGGCU